AGAGUUCCUUUGGAGUGAUUUUAGUUUUUUCAUCACUGAUCUAUUUAACGCAUAAAUCUAAUAGCUCCAUCGUUCCAUGGACGAGAAAGGCUGUAAGCGCAUAUCUUUGGGACCUGAUUCUCCUUCGACGCGUGAUGGUGAACUUACCUUCAUGGUAAACUUCAGAUUCCUCCUAUAAGGUGUUUGUAUGUAAAUUAUUUCGUUAGAUCCUCUUUCUGGCAAAUCACAGGAUUCAGGUCAUAUUAUAUUCACUGAAGAUAUUGGUCCGUGUUUCAUAGGUAUAUGACGAGUUUUGUCAAUUUUAAUGUUAGUGCAUUCUCAGCAUUUAAUGGUUUUCAUGGGAGAAUAAGUUUUAACACCCAGGUUUAUUUCGGGUGCCACACAAACAUCAAGUGAGAUUGAUAAUGCUUAAUUUCUCUGUAUCAGUGACCUUUCAAGUCGACUUUGUUGUAAAGAAACUCUAUUUUGUUGCUGAUGGGUGUGAAGCAAAUAGUUGGCCAAUAUCUUCCUCAACAGAAACACCAUUUAUAUAUAUAUUCUUAAAUUGGAUAUGUAAGUUUAAUACAUUAACUGUGUGUAUUAGAUUCUGAGAUAAGUCAUACAUAUUUAUAUUAACAGUCUUCGUCUUAAACUUCUCAUUGCUUUCUUCUUCCAACCCUUAAUAAGUCAUCUGUAAUUUGUUCUCCUUGAUAGAACACUGAUGUUCAUCAAAGUGCCCCUUAAUCACGUAAGCAGACCUCUGUCGAUGAACAUAUAAAAGAAUGGCUAGAAGCCGGGAAGCUGCAAAGGAUAGUUCUUGUGCUAAUGAGCAAAGCUACUAAUGAGGUUUCGGAGAGACGGAACUUCAGUAUCCAGACUGAUCAAGAGGUUUUCCAAAAAGGGGUCUGAGACUACUCAGAUAUUGACACUAGACAAUGGCUAAUUAUUGAUUUGUUGGAGUUCUAUUUCCACACCAAGCAGUUGAGAAUUUGAGAUGCAUCCUUAUUCAAUAGAUGAGAUAAGGGGAUUGCUGUGUUGAGAUUUACCUACUUUAGAGCCUCUGUGUCUGAAAAGCCAUCAUCACAUGGAAACCUGUGAGCUUCUGGUAUCAUGUUUGAUUUGUUUACCUCUACUUUAACAACUUUGCGUUUUAAAAAUAUCCGUUUGCCAAAAUCGUUAAGUGAUUUAACCCUGCUUGCUUCAAGGAGUCCGUAUCAUGGACUACAAGAUUCCUAAAAGACCUUGGGAUUUCCCAACUUUAUUGAGUCUAGAACUUGGUGAGAAUAAAUAUCCCAAUACCCAGAGUUCCUGUAUCGGAUAUAUUGUGCAUUCAAAGGCAGACUACCAAUCAAACUCAAGACCAUUUGCUCAGCGUCAAAUUUUGACAAACGUUAGUACUACGUCUCGGUUGAUGCCAUCUCCCGUCGAAAAGUCCGUAUGUGGAUUGGCAUGUGUGCUAGCUCUGAUUAUAUGUUUUGCAAUUAUUAUGCAUAAGUUCACGCGACAUCUGCCUGAGGAGCCUGGCUCACCUGGUGGCAGCUCACAUGCAGCACGUCUUCAGACAUUCCUCUCUUCUGUUGAUGAGAAGGAAGUGGAUUUAAAAUCUAAAUCCAAGCGAAGAAAUAUGGAAUUGGCUUCUAAUGUAGGGGUAGAUGAAGUUACAUCAGUGAACAGAUCAAAUAGAAGUUGUAAAUUCAUGUCUACAACCAAGAGUAUAAAUACUCAAGGUGCCAGU